GAUGAACGCUAGCUGCAGGCUUAACACAUGCAAGUCGAGGGGAAACGGCAUCUCAAGCUUGCUUUUGAUGGGCGGCUACCGGGGCACGGGGGAGUAACGCGUGUCCAACCUGCCCAUCACUUGGGAAUAACCUUGCGAAAAUAAGACUACUGCCCAAUGACAUCCCACAAAAGCAUCCGAGUGGGGUUACAGAUUUAACGGUGAUUGAUGGCGAUGCGUCUGAUGAGCUUGUUGGCGGAGUGACGGCCCACCAAGGCAACGAUCAGUAGGGGUUAUGAGAGGAAGGUCCACCACAUCGGAACUGCGACACGGACCACACCCGUAGGGGACGCAGCAGUGUGGAAUAUUAGGGAAGGGGCGAGGGUCUGAACAAGCCAAGUAGCGUGCAGGAGGACGGCCAUCUGGGUUGUCAACUGCUUUUAUAAGGGAAGAGAGUGGGUAACGGGUGACUUUUUGAAUGUACCUAAUGAAUAAGGACCGGCUAAUUACGUG
rnacentral:rRNA from 1 species